AUGAGCUCUAAUGGAGAGACGUGUAAAUUGUGGAAAAAGCUUUGUGGACAACUUCAUGCACAGUUGAACACAAGCAAAAUAAUGAAGGAUGCAUAUAUGUUUGCGCCAAGGAAAAAAACGUCAGCGUAGAGCCCUGUGCAAGAUGCAGCUUCCACUAACACCACAGGAGAGACAGCAACCAAAUCACCAGAGGAUACCGGAGAUGAUAAUUCCUCCUUUGUUGAACUAUCUGCACAGGGCCGGCAAGAAAUGCUUAAAAAAAAAAGAAAUCUGCAGUCCAGCUGGCUUUUCAUGCUAUCCCACUUUUCUGCAUUAAAGUGGACACACUCCAGGUGAAAGUCAUUUUUACACAUGACAAAUAAAAUCACCCCACGGCA